AUGUAAUUUAAUUCUUACAACUUUAAUGCACUAGAUCCCAUUAGAAAUAUGUAGGUAAGUGCACUUGGGAUAGAGUAGUACUAGGAUGGGUUACCUCUCAAGAAGUCCUAGUGUUUUACAUG
rfam:Picea glauca, whole genome shotgun sequence.